CUACACAUGCAGUCGAGCGGAGCGAGGGUGCUUGCACCUUAGCUUAGCGGCGGACGGGUGAGUAAUGCUUAGGAAUCUGCCUAUUAGUGGGGGACAACAUUCCGAAAGGAAUGCUAAUACCGCAUACGCCCUACGGGGGAAAGCAGGGGAUCUUCGGACCUUGCGCUAAUAGAUGAGCCUAAGUCGGAUUAGCUAGUUGGUGGGGUAAAGGCCUACCAAGGCGACGAUCUGUAGCGGGUCUGAGAGGAUGAUCCGCCACACUGGGACUGAGACACGGCCCAGACUCCUACGGGAGGCAGCAGUGGGGAAUAUUGGACAAUGGGCGGAAGCCUGAUCCAGCCAUGCCGCGUGUGUGAAGAAGGCCUUUUGGUUGUAAAGCACUUUAAGCGAGGAGGAGGCUACUAGUAUUAAUACUACUGGAUAGUGGACGUUACUCGCAGAAUAAGCACCGGCUAACUCUGUGCCAGCAGCCGCGGUAAUACAGAGGGUGCGAGCGUUAAUCGGAUUUACUGGGCGUAAAGCGUGCGUAGGCGGCUUUUUAAGUCGGAUGUGAAAUCCCCGAGCUUAACU
rnacentral:rRNA from 1 species